CCCCGCCAGCUAUGGACCGUGGGAUUAUUCCCCACCCAACGCAAAUCCCCGAAGAACUGCUUAGUGUGCCUCUUUAGUCAACAUGAAAAAGAAGAAAAGAACAACCACUGGAAUGAUCCUCUGAUGGCCUCAAGGCAAUGGAUUGUGGAUGUCUCUUAAGUACAAGCAGGUACUCUAGGGCUGGUCGGAGAUUGGCAGGAACUCGGCUCUAAACAUCGGGAUCAAGCUCACGGUCUAGCAGCGCUCCCAGGAGGGCGAUGGC